ACUGUCUUUGCUGGAAUGGAAAGAGAUCUUGUUGUAAGAGGAGCGUUGGAUGAACCAGCCCCAACCCAGGGUCUAGAGUUUGAGGAGUGACAAGGGCAGAUCUCUAAGGAAGCGAAACUCCUCUGAGACCCGACAGGGAACCAGCUUCCUCGAGGAACCUGAGUGAAAGGUCAGAUUGGGGGAACAUCUCAGGGAGGGACCAGCAUGUGCAAAGGUCCUGGGGUGUUGUAGAGCCUGCUCUGUCGAAGGAAGGAAGAGGCUAAAAGUGCCAUGGUGGAGUAUGGUAGGAGGUGGGUCCUGCUCUAAAGGCUCGGAUGCAGGGCAUUAGGAUGUGUGGGGACACAGGGGCUGCUGAAGGGGUCUCUGGGGUCUGGACUAGGGAUUUAUUUCUAGCUGUAUGCUUCUGUGGGGACUCAGAGAUACUUAGCUUGUCUCUGCAAAUGACUUUCUGGUCACUGUUGUGUCCCUGCGUGAUGCUGAAAAUAUUAAAGUUGUUGGGGGAGGGGAGAAAAACAGACCUUCGGGCUACAACUGUACAUCUAGGAGAGUUAACUAUUUCCUUAUGUAACACAAGUAACUCCGGAGUCCAAAUCAGGGUGGGUGUGGUGAGGGGUGGGGGAGGGGUAGGAGGGAUUACCCAAAGUGCAAGUAAAUCAGCAACAGGGACACUGAGAGGACCUGUCACCUGAGCCUCCUCAGGUCAUCCAUCGUCCUCGAAGGAUCCAUCCUGAGGCAUCAACUGAAAAUUAUGGCUCCUGAGAAAGAAUAAAGCACACUGUUCACUGCCAGGAUGAGUGUCCCUGUGGCAGCAUCUAGAGCUUGCCUGUUGCUCCUGCUAACGACCUCUGUCCCCCGUGUGGCCCUUUCUUUCUGUCACUUCUGUAGCUGUACUGUUGACAACUCUUCUCUAGGUGUCUCUGAAGCCCUGAAAGGCCUCUCAGCUUGGCAUGGCCCCCCGCCCCGCCCCAGCUCGCUCUCUUGAUGCCCAUGUGUGUGACUUGACAGCAUUCCUGCCUUGCUGGCCCACUGCCCCACUCCAAGGAAGGACGCUCUCAAGGUCCAGGUCCCUGGCAGGUAAACAGCAAAGUUUCAGAUUCACAGACAUCCUCUCCCUCCUGCACCAACUGCCCACCAGGAAAGUGGGAGCUUGGCGCUGCUUGCAAAGGACUAGGUGAUGUAUGAGCCUGUCUGCGGGCGCCAGGUCCUGAUCUGUGUCCCUGUGAAUAAGAAGCCACUUAAGAGUGUCAGGCAAUCAGGGACUGCCCCUCCUCCUGCCUUCGACCUUGCCUCAGCUUUUGUGGAGUCUGUGGGGUGAUGUGAUAGAGGCUGUGUAGUCAGAUCAGCACCACAGAGGUGUCAGGGCAACAUCAGUGGAAUGAGAACCCUGCUGAGCACAUGGGGCAG
rnacentral:lncRNA from 1 species